UGGAAGUAAAAGUCGUAACAAGGUCUCCGUUGGUGAACCAGCGGAGGGAUCAUUAGAGAGUUCUCAUAAAACUCCCAAACCCCAUGUGAACCUACCUUCUGUUGCCUCGGCAGGUCGCGCCGGCGCUCAACCGCGUAGCACCCUACCCUGUAGGGCCUACCCGGGACGCGCCGGCGGCUCCCCUGCCGGCGGCCCACGAAACUCUGUUUAGCAUAUUAAAUUCUGAACGUAUAACUAAAUCAGUUAAAACUUUCAACAACGGAUCUCUUGGUUCUGGCAUCGAUGAAGAACGCAGCGAAAUGCGAUAAGUAAUGUGAAUUGCAGAAUUCAGUGAAUCAUCGAAUCUUUGAACGCACAUUGCGCCCAUUAGUAUUCUAGUGGGCAUGCCUGUUCGAGCGUCAUUUCAACCCUCAAGCCCCCGUUGCUUGGUGUUGGGAGCCUACGGGGUCACCCGUAGCUCCUUAAASWUAGUGGCGGAGUCGGUUCACACUCUAGACGUAGUAGAUUUUCACCUCGCCUGUAGUGCUGGACCGGUCCCCUGCCGUAAAACGCCCCUAUUUCUAAAAGGUGAC
rnacentral:rRNA from 1 species